GGUCUUAUGUCUUUAAUGUAAGAUUUAAAUGUUGUUAUCUCGUCGGAAUGGUAAAAGGGUCCCAGUGGUAACCGAACAAGCAUUUAUUAUUUAUGUAUCACGAAAAUUGUAUAAAGUUAUAAGAGAGAGGAAACGUGUUUGCUAGGGCUUGUGUUUGUCACUUUAAAAAAUAAACAAUGACGUUCAGAAAUUUGCUUUUUCAUUGUAUACGUUAGCACUUAAUGAUUAAGACCUAUUUGAUCAUUUUACAUUAUAAUCUUAGUUGUCCGAAUCGAAAGUAGGAGGGCUGAGACUGGACACUUGGACACCGAAAUAUGUCAUUAUUAUUAGACAUCAAGAUAGAUACUUUAAACUUAUCGUCUUGGGUCGUCCCAUUCGUUUUUCGUCAAGUUCUUAAAUUAGCCCUAUUCUGCUUUCGUCACUCAUUCUACAUUCGUUACAAUCGUCGGUGGCUUUCAAUGUAGAAUGAGUGACGAAAGUAGAAUAGGACUAAUUUAAAAACUUGACGAAAAACGAAUGGGACGACCCAAGACGAUACCACUUUAAAUGCCAAUUCUCUAUGUAAUCGCUCUGGCACUCUGAUAUAUUCCUUUCCCAUAGGUCCCUUUUGCAAACACUUUUUCUCACACAACUUGUUAACUGUAUGCACUGUGUAAUGGGCUAUAACCGCGAAAAUCGAAGUUCGCAAAUUGCGGGGAUUUUUCACUGUCACUCUAAUUACGCCUUCAUUGGAGUAAAAGAGAAAAAUCCCCGCAAUGUGCGAAUUUCGAUUUUCGCGGUAGCCAGUGUACAGCCACGAAAUAGAACCAAAUAAAUAUUUUUGUAAUACGUUUUAUGUUCCUGAGUAAAUCUUAUGUGAUUAUCGUAUGUGUGCGCGAUUCGCUUGUAUUUGAUUGGUAGUGUUAAGUAGUAUUUAUUUAUCUGGCUAGCAGAAGGAAAUACUUGGAAGUACAUGAUGUAUAAUAUUUUUAACAAAGUCUAAAUUUUACCAUAGGGACCGCUGUUAACAUGUUAAGGAAUAACUUAUCAACCUAUACCUACCUAUAGGCCGUCGAGUAAUUUUGACUUUGAUAGAAAUAUAAUGUAGCCGCUAAGUUACUGACACAGUUAUACUACCACGGUUUGACUUAUUUAUCAAUAGUAAUACAAAAAGACAAACUUAUCAUCUAUGUCACACAAUGUAGGGACAUGUACGCCCAUUGGGGCAACUUCGCCAAUCCUAGACGUCUAUACAUUCGACUAGACAAUUUGUUAGGCUCUGGCAUAAAAAUUCAGUCACCAAAUAAAUGUAAGAACUCGUGUUAUUCCUGAAUUACUAGUAGAUAUUAUCACACAUAUUUCGUGCGUCUAUUAUAGUUCACUUGUCAAUACUUUAUCCUUUGGACCGCCAAAAUUGACGAGCGCUACAGCCCAAUAUCAAUAUUUCGUUCAUUCUCACAAGGUUGACAAUGACGCGACGUUUACGAUAGGCGUGGCGUUCAAAGGGAUAAUGAAGAAUACCAAAUUCACACGCAAUGUCACUUCGUGAUUUGUCAGUACGUUGCGUCGCUGCUUGACUUUCGUUUAACAUAUACUCAAUCACACAAACGGGUCUACCGCGAUAUAAUUUCAUUGUUUUUACCUUAAAUUCCGUCUUAGUCUUUCCGUGACCACAGCUGGUGCAACUCAGCUGAAACGUGGGAAUUACAGGUAAAAACAAUGAAAUUAUAUCGCGGUAGACCCGUUUGUGUGAUUAAAUAUGUACAAAAAACGCGAGAGUUUAAAGUGUUUAACAUAUAGAGGGUAGAGAUAGAGAUGUGACCAGGGCAACUCGAUAACGAACCAUCAGGAAGUGAAUUUUCGCCAUGGCAUUAAGUUAAACCGUGGUUGUAUAACGGCUACUACUAUACUAAGAUUGUUUAUCCAAAUCAAUAGACAACUUGCAAUAAUCAGCCUUUUAGAAUAAACAAAUGCAUAUAUGUAUAAAUAUUUUUUACAUGCUAGCAAUAGUGCCGGUUUGCGUUGGUUUUGAUGUCGCGUUCGCUAGUGUAGAUUGAAAUAAGCUUUUAUCACGAAAUAUAUAGAUUUUCGUUGUUUAUAUAUUAAUGCGAUCGGUCCGGCAACUAAAGACUGCUAUAUCAUUAUGAUUUGUCAUGUUAUAUUAUAACUAUGUUUUGAUGUUUAAGGAAUGCUUAAAAUGUACUACGAUCUUCAUCAGUUGUUCAAAAGGAUUUUCAAACUGAAAAAUAUAAUGUAAUUUUAUCUAUGUCCGUCUAAUAAAGUAAUUUAAGCUACUCCUUGUCUAGAUAACGAAAUAAACUGAUGAAUUAAAAAACAACCCAUUUACCCUUUCACUGCCCGUCAGUCAAACAAGUCAACUUUGCCAUUGGAUGCUAACUUUGCCCGCUAACCUAAAAUGAUAACAUUAUACAUAAACCGAUGAUUAACUCUUUACCAGGCUGACAUAUCAAAAAUGGAAAUCGAAUGUCAGCUAGUCUUACUCAAAGAAAAUAGAAGACAUGUUUGAGGUGCCGUAUGUGGGAAAUAUAUAUCCCUUCGCCUGGUAAAGGGUUAUAAAACUUAUAAAUAAGCCGAUGAUGUAUCAUAUCAUCAAACAAGCUUUGCCUUAUAUUGCGAUGUAUGAAAUUUGAGUUUAAUACAUCAAAAACUACUUUAGGUACAAACCGUUUUGCAUUUCACUGGCAGUCAUUAGCUGCCGGACUGUUUGCGUGCGAAGCCAGAAGGACGUAUACGCAUUAUAACGACGAACAUAAUAUGACCUUUAACCUUAGUACGAUAGUGUAGUUACUGUAUACUUGUAUCGUCGAAUUUGAACACUGAUGCUAAGGCCGCUUUUCCCUGUCAGCAGUUAUAUGUGUACACUUGCGUUUUUAACUUCAUGUUACUUUCAUUUUAAAACUGUCAAAAUUUUCUAUGAUAGCGUUUUAAUUUAUAGAUACUUCCAUAGUAGGGUGGUUCACGUUUGUAUGGGAAAAAUUCAAACUCCAGCUAGAAAAAGCGGCACCCUCUCAUUUUAUUACACGUGUUCUGUUGACUAAAUAUGCCAAGUUUUGUAAUCUUAUCUCAACUACAAGGGGAUGCUCAAACACUUUGAAAUUUUUCAAAGUUGUAUGAAAUACAAAAGAAACAAGUUAUUAUUUUUUUCAGUUUUAUGUAAGUAGUAGUUUUCACAUUAUUUGAAAGUGUGAUUUAAAAGUUAUUUGAUGAAAAACUAUUUUUAUUUCUAUUUUUUAUGAUUUUUUAGGUGAAAUUCUAAAAAUCUUACUUUUCGAAAAAUUAUAAAAAAUAGAAAUAAAACUGUUUUUCUACUUAAAAACUUAUACAUCACAUGUGCAAAUAAUGUGAAAACAGAUACUUAAAUAAAAAUCUGAAUAAUAAAUAGUACUUCUGUUUUUUGGUUUUCAUACAACAUACAAAAUUUUCAAAGUGGUUGAGCACCCCCUUGUAGUUGAGAUAAAAUUACGAAACUUGGUGUAUUUUAUCAGCAUAAUAAGUGUAACAAAAUAAGGGGAUGGCCCGUCGGAAAAUAAAAAAAAAUUUUUUUUGAACCACCCUAUUCCAUAGUCUAAUAAAACAUGAUCUUUCCCAGAGUGACACAAGCUACGUCACAAUAACAUGGCCGCUAUAUGUAGCGCUAUCGCAUAUUAUCAUAUAGCGCUGUCGCAUGAUGACGUAGGCUUGUAUCAGUCACGUGACCACGAAAAGACGGUAAGAGAGUACCAGGCGGAAUAUAUUAUUAUACCAUGGAUACUUCUACGUCUUCUGCAGUUGUUAAACUGUAUUAUUAUUAUCCUAUAUACUAUGAUUCUGUUGUCCAAUCUACUAUACGAUUUGCUGUAAAAUGACAAUUGGAAUAUGCAUAUUGGGUAGUAGAUUAGCCAAUCGGCUGUUGUUUAUCUAGGAUAAAAAAACGAGUUUCAGUACUACCGGGCUAGCACAUGAUUGGCGCGACAUUAUCUCGUCUGCGAGAUAGACUACCCGUCCCUCUCUAAUUAAUACAGUUAGAAAAAGACAGGUAGUCUAUCUCGCGGGCGAAAUACUGUCGCGCCGCUCCUGUGCUAGGCCUACUGUUCAGAGAAAUGGCGGGCAUGUUUCGUUCAGUGCAUAAGCGGCCUUAGAGUUAGUUUAUAAUAUACAACGUACGCUUAAGUCUCCAUACGCGGUACCUGCAAUUUCUUUUCUAACAAUAUACAACAAUAGUAAUAGGUUCGUGUAAACAAAUGUAUGUAUUUUAACGUGCUAGAUAUUUAUUGUUUGUAUUUUUGCACGCUCAAUAAUAUAAAAUAAAUUUCGAAAUAAUACAUUUUCGACCAUAUUGCCGUCAAUUCAAGGUUUAAUUUGUCAUGUCUUUGUAUUAUUGAGCGUGCGUUUUGUAGAUCAAUUAAUUCGAUUUGACUGCGUUUAGGAGAUUAACAUAAUGUAAGUAGAUAUUUUGCACCUUAGCUUAAGGGAAAGUAGCCUGCAGGAACAUUAUCAAAAAACUCCAUGAAAACGUAAUGCCCUUAACAUUGUGAUUAGUAUCUCAAUAAAAAAUCUCAUUUUAAUAUUGCCUUUGUAUCCAGUAGUGGUUUA